CUCCAGGUAACUUUGGGACCUGUCAGCUGUGUCAGUCUCUAUUUCAAGCCAUGGAAGAGCAUAUUCUUGUUUAUUGGCAAAGCUGGCACCAUUUAAUUCUGACUUGAACAAAUAACAUUC